rnacentral:rRNA from 1 species
UACGUAGGGUGCAAGCGUUGUCCGGAAUCAUUGGGCGUAAAGGGCGCGUAGGUGGCGGCUUAAGCGUGCGGUGAAAGCUCGGGGCUCAACCCCCGAGUCGGCCGUGCGAACUGAGUCGCUUGAGCACUGUAGAGGCAGGCGGAAUUCCGGGUGUAGCGGUGGAAUGCGUAGAGAUCCGGAAGAACACCGGUGGCGAAGGCGGCCUGCUGGGCAGUAGCUGACACUGAGGCGCGAAAGCGUGGGGAGCGAACAGG